ACCAGAAGAGGUGUGUGUGUGUGUGUGGGUGUGUGUGUGUGUGUGUGUGUGUGUUCGGCUGGCCAUGACCAGAAGAGGGGUGUGUGUUUGUGUGUGUGUGUGUGUGUGUGUGUGUGUGUAGGUUUGGCAGUAGGGGCAGGGUAGGUUCGGCUGGCCAUGACCAGAAGAGGGUGUGUGUGUGUGUGUAGGUUCAGCUGGCCAUGACCAGAAGAGGGUGUGUGUGUGUGUGUGUGUGUGUAGGUUCGGCUGGCCAUGACCAGAAGAGGGUGUGUGUGUGUGUAGGUUCAGCUGGCCAUGACCAGAAGAGGGUGUGUGUAUGUGUGUGUAUACACACACGCACGCGUGUGCACCUGCCUGCUGGUCUGCAGGCAUACUGUAAAAUUCCUGUGUGUGAGGUCCCACAACAUGAGGCCCAGCCUCAUCUGGGAGGGUGGAGGUGAUCUGCCCCUUUGCAUUUGUGUUCAUGGUAAAUCGAAAUUUAUUGCUGGGAAUGGUAGAAUGGGUUAAUACAAGGUAUAAUUAAACUAUAUGGAGUGGUCAUUAAGUUUGUUAAUUGUAUUGAAAUGUCAUAUCGGCAAACCAUUUAUUAAGUGUAUCUCGGAGCUCCCAUCGUGGCUUAGCGAUAACAAACCUGACUAGUAUCCAUGUGGAUGCACUUUCGAUCCCUGGCCUCACUCAGCGGGUUAAGGAUCCAGUGUGGCUGUGGGGUAGGCUGGCAGCUGCAUCUCCGAUUUUACCCCUAGGUUGGGAACUUCCAUAUGCUGCAGGUGUGGCCCUGAAAAUCAAAACAAACAAAAAAACCAACUCUGUUCCCAGGCCUUAUGACCGCCUGUGUAUUUUAAUAUUUUGAAUGCUCAUUAAUAGCCAGGGCUCAUUAAUAGGGAGAACACUGAUUAGGGUUUUAUUUCAUUCUUGUUGAUUUCUUGGUAGGUAUGGAUCAGGGAUAGAAAUCACCAAAACAUGGUUAAUCCCAGGAAAGGAUACAGGGCUUGAAAUGACCGUGGUCUUGGCAGCUGUUUCCCCAGUAACCAGGGGUGGCUUAAUUCUGAACUUCAAAGCAAUUUUUUGUACUUAAUUUUAAGACCUUUUAUAUAAGGAAAAAUGCCUUGAUGUAUACUCUCAUAAAUGGUGCUAAAAAUAUGGUACCCCUUAUAGGAGCCAGAGCAAUCUACAGUAAUGUUGGUUACUUCUGAGUAUUUCCAUAAUGGGAAAAAAAGCCAAAAUGAAUGUAUUUAAUGAGCUCCCUUCUCAUUUCCAUUGUCUUUAUAAAACUGUUUUGGUAUUGUUACCUGCAUUUUAGCAGCUUCUGACUGUUGUGAAUUUGGAGGGGAUUAAUGACCCACCUUCUCCCAUGGCGGCAGUUUUCUUUUCCCUGGCAGCCGGGCCGUGAAGAGGGGGCAGCCGGCAACUUGGUGUGAACCUGGCCCCUAAGCAGAGUGUCCUGUUUGCACUGUAAAAUGUCAGCAUUUGUCAAAAACCUCACCUGCUCUGAACAAAGGUGGCCCCAAGGCUCCGGCAGCUCUGGGCCUUGCCCCCCACCCGCACUCAGGGCGGGUUGGGUCUUCGUCGUCACUGUCAGAGGCAGAGCCAACUUGGGGAUCCCCUGUAGCACAUUCGGCUGCUGAGGACUGUAAAAAUAAGUAACUAAAAAUAAACUUAGAAAAUAAAAACUCAGAA